GACAGAGGUGCCGAGCGUUAGGCGGAAUCACUGGGCUUAAAGCGUGUGUAGGCGGACCGUUAAGUGCCUCGUGAAAUCCCCCGGCUCAACCGGGGAACGGCCGGGCAUACUGGCGGUCUUGAGCGGCCUAGGGGCAGAUGGAACAGGCGGUAGAGCGGUGAAAUGCGUAGAUAUCGCCUGGAACGCCGACGGUGAAAACAGUCUGCUGGGGGCUCGCUGACGCUGAGACACGAAAGCCAGGGGAGCGAACGGG
rnacentral:rRNA from 1 species